GACAGAGGUGCCGAGCGUUAGGCGGAAUCACUGGGCUUAAAGCGUGUGUAGGCGGGCGGGCAAGUACCUUGUGAAAUCCCACGGCUCAACCGUGGAACUGCUGGGUAUACUGCCUGUCUUGAGCCAGCCAGGGGCAGUCGGAACAGACGGUGGAGCGGUGAAAUGCGCAGAUAUCAGGAGGAACACCGGUGGCGAAGGCGGGUCUCUGGGCCGGAACUGACGCUGAGGAGCGAAAGCGUGGGGAGCGAACAGG
rnacentral:rRNA from 1 species